AUUUCACACUGAUAAAUAACCUCUUUCUCAUUAACAUGCAGGCUCCCUACAAUUAGCACUCUCAUUUGCACUAUGUAAACAGCUUCUAACUGUGCCUUUUACCUCUUUGUUCAAACAAAGAUUUCUGUUAGCAAAGAAACAAGAAGGAAAUUAGUAGCAGGUGAGAGCUUAUUUUUAAUUAUAUUGAGAUUGACUGUUGUCCUCCAAAUCUUCUCUAAUUCCCCCAAGAUAUUUAUUUGCAGACCAGAGUUUUCAAUCUAUUAAAACAGCAGCCAUUUCUGAUCUUUAUUUACUAAAUGAAAACACAAAUGGCAGCCGCGGAUUUUUGGCUUGGUGCCAGGGAGGCAGCGUCGGGGGAUGGGGCCGCGUUAAGCUCUGAUCUGAGAAGCCGGCAGUCAAAGCGGUCCAUGUAGACGAUGUCGAAGGGCACGACUUUCAGCGUGGGCUGGGCUUCGAGUCCCAAAGCCAAGCCUUUCUCAGUAAUUACUCCCAAACUCUACUACCUGAAGUCCAAUUUAGGUUCUUUAGCAGAAGGAUUUUAGUUUGUUUCCAAGAAUGAGAAACUUUGUGUCUGCCAGUGAUGAAGGGACUGGUUUAGAACAUCUUAUGGUCAGAACGUUUCAAAGAUUAUCAUCUACUGCAACUUCUCGCCAAGGGCAAGAAUCUCUCUUGAAACAUCUGACAAUUGACGCUGUAGGAGUUCACCAUCGCACGUGUUCAGGAAGUUGGAAGGAGAGGUGAGGGCUAACACGAGCAUCUCUGCAGUGAAAGGCAGGGCGAGAGGAACCUUCCCUAUUCUCACUGAUAGACACUGAAGAGAGGCCACCAUGUGAUAAAGGAACAACCUUUGCCAUCAUCUCCUUGUUGAAAUUGAAGAAACGAAAUGAGCGCUGACGGAGGUGGGUGAUGUCACGUUGUCAUCUGCCAUCCCUGAAAUACCACUUCCUCUUCGUGGGGGCAUGAGGACCCAACGCAGAAACGCAGCUCGGUCAUCCCAUGAGGGGAUGUCAGCUCUUCAGAUGCUCCCUUUUGAUGGAAGGGUGUCGUUGGCAAACACCCGGCUACCUGCUCUUCGGGGGGAAAUGAACCUAAGAUGCGGAAAUAAAUACGUAAGACCAGCAUAAGCACUAUUAAAUUCCAGACAAGUUAUCUAAAGGACCCGACACAUUACACGCUUCUUCCAUCACCACCACACCCCCAUACACUUCAAUUCAACUCUACAAAAAUAAAUUCUGUGUGUCACACUUAUGCUGGGCAUCGUUCUAGAUGCUGUGGGAAGUCACGGUGGGGCAAACGCCAAGAUCUGUCUGAUAUAAUAAUGCCCUCAAGAAACUUUAUGAUUUAGUAGGAAGAUAGAAGUAUUCUAAAGUCAUUGAUAAUCUAUAAAAUAAUGCAAAAUUAACUAGUAAAGACUAAGCAGAAAGCUGUGGGACACUGAGGGCAGAAUCUCCCAGGUGAAGGGAAUUAACAGUUUUUUAAG
rnacentral:lncRNA from 1 species